CCUACGGGAGGCAGCAGUGAGGAAUAUUGGUCAAUGGACGAGAGUCUGAACCAGCCAAGUAGCGUGAAGGAUGACUGCCCUAUGGGUUGUAAACUUCUUUUAUAUGGGAAUAAAAUGUUCCACGUGUGGGAUUUUGUAUGUACCAUAUGAAUAAGGAUCGGCUAACUCCGUGCCAGCAGCCGCUGUAAUACGGAGGAUCCGAGCGUUAUCCGGAUUUAUUGGGUUUAAAGGGAGCGUAGGUGGAUUGUUAAGUCAGUUGUGAAAGUUUGCGGCUCAACCGUAAAAUUGCAGUUGAAACUGGCAGUCUUGAGUACAGUAGAGGUGGGCGGAAUUCGUGGUGUAGCGGUGAAAUGCUUAGAUAUCACGAAGAACUCCGAUUGCGAAGGCAGUUCACUGGACUGCAACUGACACUGAGGCUCGAAAGUAUGGGUAUCAAACAGGAUUAGAUACCCUUGUAGUC
rnacentral:rRNA from 1 species